ACCAGUGUGGCAUAAUGGUAAGGAGCACGGCUCGUAACCGAAAGGCUGCUGGUUCGAUACCCUGCUGCUGUAC